rnacentral:lncRNA from 1 species
UCCUGACUCCCCCUAAAAUCUUGUUUUCUCAUUUUUUUUCUCUAUAGAAUGCAGAAAUGGCUUUCAUUUUGUAAGAAAGAAGAGGAGAAGCCAAAGAAAGGAGGAAAGUAUUGCAGCUCAAGUCUUGCAAACAUUUAUGUUUUUUUUCUUACGUCAGACAUGGCCUGGCUCUGGAAUUUCUCCCUGGGGGUUUCUAACCAUGGCAGAGGCUGCAGUGCAACAUGACAUCAAGGAAGCUCACAUUUCUUCUACCUUUCCCUCCCCUUUCAUUAAGGGAUGGGAAACUUUAACCUACAAGUGUAACAGAGGUUUUCAGCUCUGCUAG